GCGGAUAAUAGAAGUGCAGCAGGAUUAACCUUGUAUCUGAACCACAAGCCGUUUGCCUUGCAGUCGUUAACGCAGUACUGAGCAUGAAGAAACACGGCGUGUUGUGGUGUGUUCUGUGGACACCGCUGAUCUUCAUAAACAUUACGCUCUGUGACUGGGAUCCAGAGGAAAUGGACCCAAAACUUUGCAAGAAAGGUUGUCGAACGAAUUGCACAAACAGUACCGAAGUAAAGGAGGGGUAUUCCUAUAAUUAUAAUAACAACAGUUGUGACGAAGUGAAAUGCUGCGGUGGACCCCCUCCUUUCACCGAGAAAGAAAAGUGCUACUGGUUAUGCGAUGAGUCAUACAAAUGUUGUGACGGUCCGCCAGAGCGCUGUCGUGGAGAUAGACCUGGAUUCCAGGGCUCAUACUUUGACCAUGGUACUUUGGAAUGCACACCCUGGCAAAUCUGCAGAAAUGAAACUGUCAACGUGUUCUACAACAAGGCUGAAUGCAGUCGAGUAUGCCAGCAUGUGAAACGGUACAACAAGGACCCGAAGAAAAAGGACCCGAAGAAAAAGAAACCGAACACGAAAUCGAAAAAAUCAAAUUAAAGGGAGACUUCGGAACCAAA